rnacentral:rRNA from 1 species
GACGGACCGUACGAACGUUAUUCGGAAUUACUGGGCUUAAAGGGCGCGUAGGCGGGCCGCCAAGUCAGGGGUGAAAGCCUCCAGCUUAACUGGAGAAGUGCCUCUGAUACUGGCGGCCUCGAGGGAGAUAGGGGCGUGCGGAACUUCCGGUGGAGCGGUGAAAUGCGUAGAUAUCGGAAGGAACACCGGUGGCGAAAGCGGCGCGCUGGAUCUCUUCUGACGCUGAGGCGCGAAAGCCAGGGGAGCGAACGGG